UUGACCUCGGAUCAGGUAGGACUACCCGCUGAACUUAAGCAUAUCAAUAAGCGGAGGAAAAGAAACCAACAGGGAUUGCCUCAGUAACGGCGAGUGAAGCGGCAACAGCUCAGAUUUGGAAUCUGGCCCCCAGGGCCCGAGUUGUAAUCUGGAGAGGAUGCUUCUGGCGCGGCGCCUUCCGAGUUCCCUGGAACGGGACGCCAGAGAGGGUGAAAGCCCCGUACGGUCGGACGCUAAGCCUCUGUGAAGCUCCUUCGACGAGUCGAGUAGUUUGGGAAUGCUGCUCAAAAUGGGAGGUAAAUUUCUUCUAAAGCUAAAUACCGGCCAGAGACCGAUAGCGCACAAGUAGAGUGAUCGAAAGAUGAAAAGCACUUUGAAAAGAGGGUUAAACAGUACGUGAAAUUGUUGAAAGGGAAG
rnacentral:rRNA from 1 species